GCAAUCUGAAGGAACCUCCUUUCCUAUCUCUUUUCCUUACAAUUUCUUGGUCCCUGCACUACUCUCUCUACUUUCUUUUGUAAGAUCUGUCCAUCUAAGGGUGGGAGAAAGAGUAGGAAGUAUCACCUCAUUAAAUGGGAGGAUGCCAACAACCAAAUAUGAACGGAGGCCUCGGGUUUAUAAAACUAAUAGACAUGAAUGACACCCUACUUAACGUGCUGCUAAAUGGAAGGAUCUUAUCAACGUUCAUAAAUGAUAAAUCAUAAAACAGACUACCAAAUUGAAAAAAUUGGGUGCUAUUAUAUACCUUUG
rnacentral:lncRNA from 1 species